GCCUCAAUAGCUCAGUCGGUAGAGCGUUUCACUCGUAAUGAAAAGGUCGCCAGUUCGAUUCUGGCUUGAGGCUCCA
rnacentral:tRNA from 1 species